UGAAGGUGCCCCGCCGUCAACGCCGGGGUUAAAAGGGAAGCCGGUUCAAUGCCGGCGCGGUCCCGCCACUGUAUGUGCAAAGCAAGCCGCAAAUCGCCACUGGGAAAAUCCCGGGAAGGCGCGGCGAGCAUCAACUCAUUGCACGAGCCAGGAGACCUGCCUUCAUG
rnacentral:ncRNA from 1 species